CGGGCCGAGCCAGUGUAGGACGCGACCUGUUGACGUGAGGGCGGGCCGAGCGCCGCCGCCGAACCGCGCCAAUUUUGAAUUCAGAACGGUUUUUAUUUCUUUGUUCCGUGUUCUUUGUGGGUAGAAGUUAAAAGUUUAGUGGCCAGUGUUAUUUUGUGCUCAUUUGGAAUGCUUUUGGAUUUUUGUGACCAGUGAAGGUUAGAGUGUUGUCAAGUGCAGUGGGGGAUGUGUUAGUGCAGUGCAGUGCAGCGGGUGCUGGCCGGCGGCGGCGCCAUGCCGCGCAGUUGACGACGGAGCACGGCCGCGCCCCUCGCCGCUGCUCACUCAUUGAACACUCAGGAUGCUGGGCGGCGUGGGCGGGCGGCACGCGUCGGUGCGGCGGCG